GCGAGGUUACUAAUCUAAUCUCUUAAUCUUAGUCACAUGAGAGUGGUUCAAUAAAACACAGAAAAUGACCUGGGAGUGACCACUGAAGGACUGAACUCCAGCUCCCAUGAUGCACUGCAGCAGAACAUAAUGUUCUCACGAGCUGCCCCCAACUCUGAACCAGAUGAUGCACCGAUGAUUUCUUUGUGCCACGAAACACUCGCUCGGCCCUGAAUGAAACGAGCUGGAGCGAUGUGUCGGCGAGGCAUCGUGACCGCAGCCCACUGAGGAAGAGGAGGAGGAGAGUGAGGGAGGGGCGAGCUUCAGGCUGAGGAGAGAGAGCUGCGUGGGCUGAAUAUCAGCGGAGGCGAGUAAACGCUGCAGGACGAGACUUCCAGAAACUCACCUGGGUUCACCGCCGUGACUUUCACUUUGUGUCGGAUCAUUUUUCACAGUUUGAGGGAAUUUUCAGACUAAAAUCAAAUCCUCAGAUUCUGCCUUUGGGCUCAGCUGCAGUCAUAGUUCAGGAGCAGUUUCAGGUGUGGCAGAACAUCGACCUCUGCAUCAUCCAAUCACCUUCACCUUCCACACAGCACUCACCUGACAUUCUCCUAACCCCGGGAACCCUACCGAUCCCCUCUGGCACCCCUAACUUCUUGCUGCCCUGGAUUUCCCAGCUCUGGCUCCUUAAGACCCGAUCUGAUAACAGAGCUUUUCAUCAGACGGGUCGUGACAGGCAGCGAGUCCUGGAGGUGCAUGGACUGAUCUCCAUCACAGAAUCACGCCUGUGCUUAAUGCUUUGCUGUCCGAGGGUCUGAAGAUCACAGGCCUGCAGGUUUGUUCCUGCACACAGAGACUUCUCCAGGUUAUUUUGAUGGCAUUGUGCACACGAUGACAUAUUCAAGUCUAGAUGUAGUGUUGUUGCAGUUUGGUGAAUGUGUGCGUGCUCUCCAAGAUUCCACUCUUCCUCCAGCAGUGUAUUUUUAUUUUUCAUGAAACUGAAAAUGACCCAAUUUAAACAUCUG
ensembl:lncRNA